AUUGAACGCUAGCGGGAUGCUUUACACAUGCAAGUCGAACGAGUGGCGGACGGGUGAGUAAUAUAUCGGAACGUGCCCAGUAGCGGGGGAUAACUACUCGAAAGAGUGGCUAAUACCGCAUACUAUCAGCACGGCCGAUAUUGGAUUCGCUAGUUGUGGGGGUAAAGGCGAACCAAGGCAACGAUCCGUAGCUGGUUUGAGAGGAUGACUAGCCACACUGGAACUGAGACACGGCCCAGACUCCUACUGGAGGCAGCAGGGGGGAAUUUUGGACAAUGGGGGAAACCCUGAUCCAGCCAUCCCGCGUGUAUGAGAAGGCCUUCGGGUUGGAAAGUACUUUGGGCAGAGAAGCGUUAUCUGCAGAAUAAGCACCGGCUAACUACGUGCCAGCCGCCGCGGUAAUUC
rnacentral:rRNA from 1 species